rnacentral:rRNA from 1 species
GGUCAAGCGAAUAAGCGCACACGGUGGAUGCCUUGGCGGUCAGAGGCGAUGAAGGACGUGGCAGCCUGCGAAAAGUAUCGGGGAGCUGGCAACAAGCUUUGAUCCGGUAAUGUCCGAAUGGGGAAACCCACCCGCUUGCGGGUAUCCUGCAGUGAAUACAUAGCUGCUGGAAGCGAACCUGGUGAACUGAAAUAUCUAAGUAACCAGAGGAAAAGAAAUCAACCGAGAUUCCGUAAGUAGCGACGAGCGAACGCGGACUAGCCCUUAAGCUGAUUUGGUUCUAGGAAAACGCUCUGGAAAGAGCGGCCAUAGAAGGUGAUAGCCCUGUAUCUGAAAGGGCCAUUUCAGUGAAGACGAGUAGGGCGGGGCACGUGAAACCCUGUCUGAACAUGGGGGGACCAUCCUCCAAGGCUAAAUACUACUGACCGACC